rnacentral:ribozyme from 1 species
UGUUUUUUUUUUAAAUCAACAGAAAAAAAAAAAAACUUUUUCCCUUGUUCCUUGCUUUUCCUCGAGUUUUGGCUUUGGUGUGUU